rnacentral:rRNA from 1 species
AUUGAACGCUGGCGGCAGGCCUAACACAUGCAAGUCGAGCGAGCGGCGGAAGGGUGAGUAAUGUAUGGGGACUGCCCGAUAGAGGGGGAUAACUACUGGAAACGGUGGCUAAUACCGCAUACUGUCGGAAAACCCAUAUGGGAUUAGCUAGUAGGUAAGGUAAUGGCUUACCUAGGCAACGAUCCCUGGCUGGUCUGAGAGGCUGAUCAGCCACACUGGGACUGAGACACGGCCCAGACGCCUACGGAGGCAGCAGUGGGGAAUAUUGCACAAUGGGCGCAAGCCUGAUGCAGCCAUGCCGCGUGUAUGAAGAAGGCCCUAGGGUUGUAAAGUACUUUCAGUCGGGAGGCGUUACCGACAGAAGAAGCACCGGCUAACUCCGUGCCAGCAGCCGCGGUAAUAC